CUAACUUUUUUCUUGGUUAACGUUUUUUUAAUUUGAAAGACUAUCAAUUAUUCAUUUAUAGUGAAGCAAGACGCUGAACUGUUCUUUAAUGUGCCAUUAUAUCUUGCAGCCAUCCUCAGAAGGAUGUUAAUAAGAGUCACCUUUCUCUUUCCCGAAUCCGGAACUAGUCCGAGUAUAUCUACUGCUGCCGAGCCAACUCGUAAUGAACCAAAAGCAGACAAUAUAAUGUGGGAACUGAAAAUGUCGAAUCGGGUAGAUUGAUUUUGGCAACCGUAACAUCCAAAACCAGCUCAAAGGUUGGAACAUCCAAUGCUUAUGGUGAUCGUGGACUUCCAUCAUAGCAAGGAACAUAGUUGCAUCUUCAAGGGGUGCUCCUACCAAAGGACCAAGACAAGAUUGAUCGUGUGUGUUCACGA